CCUACGGGAGGCUGCAGUGGGGAAUAUUGGACAAUGGGCGAAAGCCUGAUCCAGCCAUGCCGCGUGUGUGAAGAAGGCCUUCGGGUUGUAAAGCACUUUCAGUGGGGAAGAAAGCCUUGGGGCUAAUACCCUCGAGGAAGGACAUCACCCACAGAAGAAGCACCGGCUAACUCCGUGCCAGCAGCCGCGGUAAUACGGAGGGUGCGAGCGUUAAUCGGAAUUACUGGGCGUAAAGCGCGCGUAGGCGGUCUGAUAAGCCGGGUGUGAAAGCCCCGGGCUCAACCUGGGAACGGCAUCCGGAACUGUCAGGCUAGAGUGCAGGAGAGGAAGGUAGAAUUCCCGGUGUAGCGGUGAAAUGCGUAGAGAUCGGGAGGAAUACCAGUGGCGAAGGCGGCCUUCUGGACUGACACUGACGCUGAGGUGCGAAAGCGUGGGUAGCAAACAGGAUUAGAUACCCUAGUAGUC
rnacentral:rRNA from 1 species